GACGAACGCUGGCGGCGUGCCUAAUACAUGCAAGUAGGACGCAGUUGCGAACGGGUGAGUAAUGCGUAGGCAACAGACUAUUAGAGGGGGAUAACUACUGGAACAGAUAGCUAAUACCGCAUACUAGUAGAUGGAUCUGCGUUGUAUUAGCUAGUAGGUCGGGUAAUGGCCUACCUAGGCAACGAUACAUAGCCGACCUGAGAGGGUGAUCGGCCACACGUGGACUGAGACACGGCCCAGACUCCUACGGGAGGCAGCAGUAGGGAAUCUUCGGCAAUGGGGGGAACCCUGACCGAGCAACGCCGCGGGAGUGAAGAAGGUUUUCGGAUCGUAAAGCUCUGUUGUUAAGGAAGCGGUACUUAACCAGAAAGGGACGGCUAACUACGUGCCAGCCGCCGCGGUAAUUC
rnacentral:rRNA from 1 species